CUAGUUGUUCGGGAUUUACAUCCUGAGUAACGUAGCUAACGCGUGAAGUCAGCCGCCUGGGGAGUACGGUCGCAAGAUUAAAACUCAAAGGAAUUGACGGGGACCCGCACAAGCGGUGGAUGAUGUGGAUUAAUUCGAUGCAACGCGAAAAACCUUACCUACCCUUGACAUGUCACUAACGAAGUAGAGAUACAUUAGGUGCUCGUAAGAGAAAGUGAACACAGGUGCUGCAUGGCUGUCGUCAGCUCGUGUCGUGAGAUGUUGGGUUAAGUCCCGCAACGAGCGCAACCCUUGUCUUUAGUUGCUACGCAAGAGCACUCUAAAGAGACUGCCGGUGACAAACCGGAGGAAGGUGGGGAUGACGUCAAGUCCUCAUGGCCCUUAUGGGUAGGGCUUCACACGUCAUACAAUGGUGCAUACAGAGGGUUGCCAACCCGCGAGGGGGAGCUAAUCUCAGAAAAUGCAUCGUAGUCCGGAUCGUAGUCUGCAACUCGACUACGUGAAGCUGGAAUCGCUAGUAAUCGCGGAUCAGAAUGUCGCGGUGAAUACGUUCCCGGGUCUUGUACACACCGCCCGUCAUACCAUGGGAGUGGGUUUUGCCAGAAGCCG
rnacentral:rRNA from 1 species